UUAAAGAUAGCUUAAACAAGCAUUACAUUGAAGCUGUAAAUAUGGGUUAUACCUCUUUAAA
rnacentral:tRNA from 1 species